GUGCUCACUUUAGCAAUACAUAUACUAAAAUUGGAACAGUACAGGAAAGAUUAGCAUGGCCCCUGUGCAAGGAUGACACACAAAUUUGUGAAGUGCUCUAUAUUUUU
rnacentral:snRNA from 1 species